ACUUGAUUUUCAGUUUUCGAACUCAGGUGUUUGUCUUCCUUGAGCUAGAAAACUUGAAAAAGGGAACCCCACAAUGAGAGGAAGUUUAGCUGGUGGACCACCUAGUCCUAUUGAACCUAGACAGAGGCUUUCUGUAUUCACCGAGGAAACAAGCAAAAGAAGGUUCUUGAGAAGUAAAGUUUUCAGAGAUGGGGAGAGAGCUCUUCAUAGUCCCACCAAAAACAGGAAUUUUACCUGCAAGUUCCCAACUAUAAAGCUCAUAUUGGGUUUUAUUGCUCUGGUUGCAAUUUGGUCACUUUGGCAUUCUCCAGCAAUUUAUAACACGGAAUACAUAUCUCGUUCAGGCUCGCGGGCUGCUUUGGUGCACAGAGAGUUAAGCGAUCAUCCUUCAGCUGAUCAACGUUAUACAUCACUUUUAGAUAUUGACUGGGACCAAAUUUCCCAAGUUAUUGAGAAACUGGCCGAUAGGCAUGAGUAUCAGGGCAUCGGGAUAUUAAACUUCAAUGACAGUGAAAUUGAUCAGUUGAAGGAGUUAUUACCGGACGCUGAGCAUGUGAUCUUGAACCUGGAUCACGUCCCAAAUAAUAUAACAUGGGAAACAUUAUAUCCUGAAUGGAUAGAUGAAGAAGAA
rnacentral:misc_RNA from 1 species